CAACUAGUGUCAAAGAAUCCUGACGAAUUAACUUCAAAAUGUUGUGGUAAGAUAUGUUAUAAAAUUGGAAGCGAUUGGUUUCGAUGGGGAAGACAUCUAGGCUUAAGCGAUUCAGAUCUUGAUAACAUUGGCUCUGAUAAUACAAAAUGUUAUGAGAAAGCUGUAAAUGUUUUAAAAAAAUGGAAACAAGUAAAUGGAAAUACUUCAUGGGAGCAAUUAAAAAAUGAAUUAAUAUCCUUUGAACGUUCAGAUAUAGUGGUUGAAAUUGAAAAAGAUUUUGGAGAUUACUUAUGUACCCCAGAUAAAAAAAGAUACCCACCUGAUGAUCUGCCUCAACAAACUAACAAAAAAAUUAAUAAAG
rnacentral:lncRNA from 1 species